CUGUUUAACCUGUUUUGGGGUGGGACAGACAGAGAGAAUAGUAGGAAGUGAAGAGAAAGAAGUGAAAGUUUGCUGUUGUUUUUCCGACUUCAUUUUGGAUAACUCUAAACUUUUAAUUUUAUUUUUUUUAUUUGUGUUAAGUAAAUGUUUUAAAACAUUGGUUCUGUGUGUUAAGUGUAAUUUAGUUUUUUUGAUUGUUUUUUUAUUUUCAUCAUUUGGACAUCAAAAUCGAGCUUCUCCAGUUUCAUCUCAUUGUCCAUUAGGACACAAAACACACAAGAUCUUCAAGUGAAAGAUUGAAACAAGUCCGUCCGCCCCUGUCCCUGAGGAGGUCUGUGCACACCACUGGGUGGUAUAAAUACUGGGUUUAGGCCAGUAAUCCCAGCAGCAGUCAUGGGGAAGUCUGCUGACUUGACAGUUGUCCAGAAGACGAUCAUCAAGACCCUCUACAAUGAGGGUAAGCCACAGUGGGUCACUGCUGAAAGAGCUGGCUGUUUGCAGAAUGCUGUGCCAAAGCUUAUUCAUGGAAAGUUGACUGGAAGGAAAAAAUGUGGUAGGAAAAGGUAUACAAGUGAAAGGAAUGACUGCAGG